CUUCUUCGACCUGCUGCGGGCAGAUGAAGUGGAUGUGGGCGUCGAUGCCGCCGGCGGUGAGGAUUUUGCCCUCACCGGCGAUGAUUUCGGUGCCGGGGCCGAUGACGAUGGUAACGUCUGGCUGGGUGUCAGGGUUGCCGGCUUUGCCGAUGGCGGCGAUGCGGCCGUUCUGGAGGCCGACGUCGGCUUUGACGAUGCCCCACCAGUCUAGGAUCAGGCGUUGGUGAUGACGGUGUCCAUUACGGUGUCGUCUGCCAGCUGGCUUUGGCCCAUGCCAUCGCGGAUG
rnacentral:sRNA from 1 species